AAAAAAAUGAUCCUUGUGAACUUGAACAAAAUUAAGGAUAUAAAAUAUGCCGAGGGAAUGCAAGAGCUUUUCUGAAGGGCCACUCCCUGCAGAUGUAGAACUGAACUGCCGCCCCGUGGGAUCUCGUCGUUACUGCUGAAUGUCUUCCAGGCCAUUCACACCAAGGGUUGCUUUGUGAAGGCUGCAACGCGGAUGGUCCCCAUGUUCCUGAUCCAGAGCAGGAACCUAACCACGGCCCCUCGUGCUUCUCCUUCAGGCUGCGCGUCCAGCUGCCUUCAGGCAAACCAGCAAACCAGGAACUGGGUCCUGGUCCAGUUACCAUCUGUCUUGUGGGACUGAAUGGAAGGUUCGAUUCUGAUCCAGGUCUGGCAGAUGCAGCCACCUGAUCAGCACUGGCACUGCCGGGAAGCGUGCCAUCCAGAAACACCUUGCGUGAGGGAGGCAGGAAGGUGGGCAUUGCUUUUACUUGGCUCUAGAUGCCUUCCCAUUGAUUAGCAUAAGCCCUUUAUUCUGCUAGAAAAGGGAGAUAUCUCUCUUUAGUGUCAAUAAACAUUAUCCCAUGGGGUGACUGGGUGAUGAACUUCUGCAACUUUUAUUUAUGGCUGAUGAAAACUACUAGGAAUUCAGACAAGUUGUAGCUGCUUACGGGAAGGGGUAUUAUAAUUAAUUAUGAAAUUAAUUAGAAAUUAAUGUUUAAUGCAAACAGCAUAAUUUCUAUGGCUGUUUUUCUGUAAUAGAUAGAGGAUCCAGUACCGUUUUCUUAUUUAUGCAGUACUUGGUUGUAUUUUGUAUCAAUAUCCACCUUACCACUCCGGUGGAAGGACAGGAAAGAUUGCCAUGCUCAAACAUCUGCUUCUAAAUCAAAGGCAAUUUCAAGCAGUUUUAGGUCCUUUUGAACACAUAGUUCAUGACAACUGCUAAGUGCUAAAAUCAUGACAGUUUGUUCAACUGAUCAUUUUAGGAGAAAAAGUUUUAGACACUUAAGUUGAACAAAGGAUCUGCUAAUUAUUAAGUGUAAAUUAGUAAAAAAGUAAGGAAUUCUCCAGUGAAGUAGCCUGUUCUUCUCCUGUACUCUCUUUCAUGGAAAACCCCCAAAUUUGCCCACACACCUUAGAGCAAGUAAUAGUCAGUACACAUGACUAUUGAAAAAAAUCACCUCAUAUUACUAAUUAGGACAGGGAUAUGCAAAAGAGGGGAAAAGGGAACGUGCGUGUAAAGGGAAGCAACACGCUGAUUCCAUAUGAACCAUUUAUUGAAUAAAUACAUGCAUCAUUAUGUAGAAUUACAUGAGCUAAAAAGGCAAUCUGUACAAAAUUGAUUACCCUUUGUUCUCAUUUCAAUUCUCACCAUUUGCUGCAGCUCUGAUAAAGGAUUCAAGACAGAAAAUGAAAAUUCUUUAAAUCCAAAUCCAAGUGAUAUGCAUGCUGAUUUGAGUUCGCGUUAUACCACUGCUAUCAUUAAGAAAGCUGGUUUUCUCGUCAGUGAAGCAAAGUAAAUCUAAAAACAGUUUCAACAGUAGAGAACAUGUGUUGGUACAUACAGGUAAUAAAGCUUAUUUUUAGCCAUUUCUUAAAUAUCUUCAUAUGUUCAUAUUUUAAGGCACAUGAUAAACAAGGACUACAUGAAAAGCUAUCAGUUGAUAUUGAAUACAUUGACUUGAUAAUGAGGUGCAAUUUAACCCAGAGGAAAGUCGUGUUUGUCCUUCCUACUUCCAUAUGAACAGAACCACGAGAAGAUGGUAACUAUGAUACAGAGGUUUGUUUCCACUAUCAAAAGAAUCAGUCUCAUCUAGGCACUCAUAUUCUGAUCCAAAUUCACUCAAGAGAAAACUUCUAAAGAGUCUGGCAUCCAGGGCCGAUUACAGUCAAUAGGAAUUACUCUUACUGAAUUACAGUAAGUGCAGAGUCUUCUAACAUCUGUCCCCAGACUUCGACCUGAAACACCACAUCAUUCAAACAGCCCAUUUGUUGGCUAUGGAUCAAACUCUGAGGAGUCACUGGCCAAGAUGAACAGCAAAAGUCCUUCUACCUUGGGCUCAACCAAGGAAAAAGACAAUUAUGCCAAACUGCUGCACUUAGACCUCCUUUAUUUAGAUCACCUUUCACUUCCUGCAUUUUCAUUGAAUUAACAAUAAUUCUAUGUCUUUCCAUUCUUAACAUUUUCAUGAAGAGCUAGCAAAGAAAAUACAUAUUUCAUAAUAUAUUACAUUCUGUAUGAACAGAUGAGUGUAUGUUUAUAGUCAUACAUUCCAAUAUAGAGUGAAGCCUUCUAAUGGAAAUGAUUUCUUACAAAGAACCUCUCUGUUGCUGAGUCCAUCAGAAAGUAACAGCAGCAAAAUUUACAGUUUGUUUGCUAAAAUUGUCUUGUAUAAAAUGUGGCGAUAAGAAGGCCAUCACUGUAUAGAGGUGUAUGUGUGCAUGUCACACACAUCCAUGACAAAUGUUCAUGUUAAACCGAAUUUAGACAAACCGAAAUGAGUCAAUUCUUAAACUUGGAAAAGACAAAAAGCUACAUCUAUGGUAGGCACUUUGGUACAUCUAGUAACGUAGGCAUAUUCUACAUCUAGAAUUAAGGUUCUGUCAGUAGUCUUACAAUAAAGCUAAUUUCAGGAGUUUAUUAUUCUGCUUUGAAAUUCUUUCUUGGCUGAGAGAUCAUUCUGGAAUCUUAGCUAAAUAAUGUCCUUUAUCUGUGUAAUUGCAUACUUAUCCAAGAAUGAGGGCGUUGGCUCUGAAAGAGCUGAACUGUUCUCUUGGAUUCUUAAUGCACAUUUUUAUAACAGUCGGAGAAAACUUACCAGAAAAAGAAAAA